CCCCACACACACACGCUUGCCCAACCUCCAAGGGGCUGCUGGCACAGAGUUUGCAUUGUCAUAUGCUUCUCCAAAAUCUGCAAAGUAAGAGAUUCUAACCACAGUUGUUAGGACCUCUGUCUCUUCCCUCUCUGACUUCUCUUUUAACUCACUUCUCAUGGAGGGUGGUGCUGGGGGGGGUGGCUGUGGCAUUUCUUGAGAAGUGUCUUAAUACUGUGUAUCACCAACAAAUGGUCAAGUCAAAAGGAACCCUUCUAAAGUAUCAGUAAUGAACACUUUGAUACAUCAUUCUCGAGGAAAGACUGAAUCGACUUUCUAUUCUGUAUACAGAGCAUGUUUCAGAAGGUCGUCAUUUGCAGAGACGAAGAUGACACAAAGAUUUUGAUUAUCGUGGACAUUGCUGCCAUAAACAUCGGGCUGCAUAUGCCCCUUCGGAUCACUACAUUUGGGAUGCCUAUAAUUAGGUGCAUGCUGACGCUUUAAUAUUCCUGAUCCUCGCGAGUCUCCUGGAAAAGCCUCGACACCUCCAGGGAUCCAAUCCAGGGUACCACGUCACAUUGCACUGGAUUCCUUCUGAAGGAGCAGAUUCAGGAUUCCGAAAACAGUAGAAAUAAUAUUAUGUUAUCACAUUGACAUCUAGACCUUCUUUUGAAUGUUGUUUGCUUUUUAAAAAUAAAUCAAAAAAAAUAAAAUAAAAUAAAUCA
rnacentral:lncRNA from 12 species